rnacentral:lncRNA from 1 species
AAGGAGACUGUUAGGUAGUAGGAGAAUGCAUAUCAGGCUCAAUGACAAGUGAAGGAGACUGUUGGAUAGUAGGAGAAUGCAUAUCAGACUCAGUGACAAGUGGAGAAGACUGCUGCUCUCCCUGUCGAUUACUAUUUGAUUGCUCAUGCUCUCCAUACUCUGAGCCAUACUCUUGGUCAGACUCUCUCUCACGAUUGGUGUAAUCAGAUGAAACACGAGGAGAGAAGAGAAAGUCGGAUAGAAUAUUAGGUUGAUUGGUGGACAUAUCCAUG